rnacentral:lncRNA from 1 species
AGAGGGAAGAAUCAACUCCCCAUCAUGGAAAAUAAAAUGUUCAGCUGGGCAAUAAUGAAGCAAAUGAGUAAUGCCCAGAAGACACUACAGAGAAUGUCUACUGGGGACUACAAACAGCCAUCAGUAUGGUGGAUUUGCAGAAGAAACUGCCCUAAGCUGUGUGUUAAAGGUGGAUGGGAAACCGGAGGAGGGCAUGGAAGGACAGGCCAGCUUCAGAGAAGGAUUUUCCCUCUUGCCCAGGAAACCCUUGGAAAUGGAUCCGCCCUCUAGCGGUUAACAAGGGAGCUGAGGAAUAAUGGGAUUUGACAUCAUUGGAAAGCACAGCCACACCCAAAAACAGGUGUGUGCACAAGAAUUUCUGAACACAGAUUUUACCAGCUACACCCACACCCUCAAUUCUACUUGAAAUUAAUCUUAAAGAAAUUUUGAAUUUGCUGAUAAUUUGAGAUCAGUAAAGAUUUUCCCUGAAAGUUCUAAGGACUUCGCUUGGGGUUUUGGAUUGGAUUCCAGAGGUUGGCACCUACGCUCUAAAAAAUCUAAACAGAAGGAGAAAAUAAAUCACCAACUGGCACUUUAAAGACAAAGAUUUAUACCAGAUUUAAUAAACUUCCUGUCUUGCUGAGCAUGAGGAAAAUGUCGUGUUUACCCCGAUGCUCUCUGCUCCUGGCAGCGUGUGUGCUGAGUUGGAAGGGCUGCAGAAGUGGGUCACGCUCACCCAACUGGAACUCGAAAGACUCAUAGAGAGCAAGCACUGGACAAUGGCCUGGUGUCCAUGAUGUAUCCCUGCCUGUCGUUACUAAUCCUACUCAGGGCCAAGCUGGAGAGAAAUGUGAGUCAAGUCAUAUUGUCUUGUGUGGGUUCCCUAAAAGCAGACCCAAAUCGAAGAUUCAAGCACAAGCUGUUUAUUUUGGGAGUGAUUCCAGGAAACAGCAGUCAGGGGUUGGGGAAGUGAGAGAGGAAGGCAGUCUGGGAAGGUUAUGCCAUGAGGCCAGUUUCCACCAUGGGCAUGCAGAGCUUAAACCUGCUGGGGACCUCUAGGAGCCAGCAUCAAGCAUGUGCCUCAGAUUUAUCUCAACCAAGGGGCGAACGAGCUCAUGUGCCUAUCUGCUAAUUCUCUCAGGGACUGGUCAAAGGCUGCUCCCAGAAGCAUUAAUUCCUCAGGACAUUCAGCCUGUAGCACCUGUGGACAGAACAGAUGUCAGCACCAGACAAAGUACUCAAGUAAAGGGAUGCAGGUUGGAAGAGAGGGACACUCACUGAACUGUUACAGAUCUCAGAGCAACAGUGACUCUGACUCAAAACAAAGCAAACAUCCACCACAGUUAAAUCAAAUCCUUAUUUCUUUGUGACUUCUCCUUUUACUAUUUAUGGUGGUUCACACACAUGGUCUGGGAGGUGUAAACAUCUUACCAUAUCUCCCAUCAUACAUAGUUAAGCUUUCUUGGACUCAGUCAUCAUAUUUAUCCAAAAAUUAUUGACUUUCACCACUAGUAUUGCAAGCAGCCCUAAAAUUACAACUACAGCUCUGUAUGGUGACAAGGAGCAUGCACUUUCCCACUGUCUCCACAUCAACAAGUGAGAAACACCUGGAUCAAAAUUGGCAUAAACAAUCAACAUGACACUGGGUUUUGGAGUGUAAUAUGGACCUGAUUUACUUCCAGCUGGGAAAUAAAUCUUUUGCCAAACUAAGUAUAUACUCACUCACACACUG